rnacentral:rRNA from 1 species
UACGUAGGGGGCUAGCGUUGUCCGGAUUUAUUGGGCGUAAAGAGCGUGUAGGCGGCCAAGUAGGUCCGGUGUGAAAACUCGAGGCUCAACUUCGAGCUGUCGGUGGAAACUUUCUGGCUAGAGUCCGGAAGAGGAGAAUGGAAUUCCUGGUGUAGCGGUGAAAUGCGCAGAUAUCAGGAAGAACACCCGUGGCGAAAGCGGUUCUCUGGGACGGUACUGACGCUGAGACGCGAAAGCGUGGGGAGCGAACAGG